rnacentral:rRNA from 1 species
UGGCGCACGGGUGCGUAACACGUAUGUAACCUACCUUAUCCAGGGGGAUAGCCUCUCGAAAGAGAGAUUAACACCGCAUAACAUCACGGGAUAGCAUUAUGCUGUGAUCAAAUAUUUAUAGGGAUAAGAUGGGCAUGCGGGACAUUACCUAGUUGGCGGGGUAACGGCCCACCAAGGCGACGAUGUCUAUGGGAUCUGAGAGGAUGGCCCCCCACACUGGUACUGAGACACGGACCAGACUCCUACGGGAGGCAGCAGUAAGGAAUAUAGGUCAAUGGACGGAAGUCU